rnacentral:lncRNA from 1 species
GCCUGUUUUCCCACAGCCCCACCAACAUUGAGAUACUUAUGUAUUUUCUUGAAUAGAUUAUUGGAUUGUAGCAUCUAGGUAGCACAGUGGAUAAAAGCCACAGCUAGAGACAAGAAGUCCUGGGUUCAAAUGUGAUCUCAGAUACUUCCUAGCUGUGUGACCCUAGUUAAGGAUACAGCUCCAGGACUAAACAGUUUCCAUCUAGCAGGCUGCACAAUUCAUGAAGCCAGGCCCUCUUUGAGGCAAGUAUGGAACAGGAGUGAAUAGGAAGGGGAAGACCAGGAAUAUACCAAGUGAUGUCACUAAAGGGAAAAUGACAAUUGGGAAACAAUGACUGAGCUGUUCUAUCAACCAAGGCCUUACUUUCAAAUUCCCACAGGAUGCCACAGUGAAGUCCCCAGAAUUCAUUGGACAAAGCAAUCAGCCCUCUCUGCUCUCAAGGUAGUAUUUAGCCAAAUGCAGAGAAUGACUCAACUUCCACUGUAGCUACAUGCUUAGCAGAGUGGGACAAGCAUAGUAUCAUCUGAGUGCUGAAAACCCAUGUUUAAAAUGCUAACUUGGAAAUGGUAGAUACACAUAGUUAGGAAUGCUACUAGCAUCAUUGUAUUGCAGAAUUUUAUAGCAAGAGGGGAAAUAACUCAUUGGCUAUCUGGUCAAAGGUACACCCUCAAAAGAAUCCACUUUCAUAUUCAUCAUCAUCACAGCUGACAUUUAUUUUAUUGUCGUUUAGUCAUUUUCAGUUGAGAUUGACUCUUUGUUACUCCAUUUGGGGUUUUCUUGGCAGAUACUGGAGUGGUUUGCCAUUUCCUUCUCUAGCUCAUUUUAUAGAUGAGGAAACUGAGACAAACAUUUAUAUAGGGCUUUAAGAUUUGCAAAAUAGAACAAGUACACUAAUUUAGGAAGAAUUAGCAUUUUUAUUAUAUUGGCUCCAGAAAACAAUGUUUUUCCAAUUGUUUAGAUCUGACUUUAUUUGUAAGAAAAGUGCUUUGAAGUUGUGACCAUAUAGUUCUUGAGUUUGUCUUGGUAGAUAGAAUUCCAAAUAUUUCUUCUUAUCUACAGUUAUUUUAAAUGGAAUUUCUUCUUCUAUCUCUUGUUGUUGGGCUU